rnacentral:rRNA from 1 species
UACGAAGGGGACUAGCGUUGUUCGGAAUUACUGGGCGUAAAGCGCGCGUAGGUGGUCUUUUUAAGUCCGACUGUGAAAUCCCGGGGGCUCAACCCCCGUGGGCUGCAGGGGAUACUGGGAGACUGGAGACACGUAGAGGCAAGCGGAAUUCCGGGUGUAGCGGUGGAAUGCGUAGAUAUCGGGAGGAACACCCGUAGCGAAGGCGGUUCUCUGGGCCAAUACUGACGCUGAGGAGCGAAAAGCGUGGGGGAGCAAACAGGG